GGGAUCAGGACCUGAGCCAAAGUCAGAUGCUUAACUAACUGAGCCACCCAGGCACCCCUGAUCUUUUAAGUUAUAAUACAAUCACUAAAUGGCCAUGACAAAAUGGACCUUUGGAAAUGUUUUAAGGACCCUGGUGAUUAUACUGGGCCUACCUGAAUAACCCUCAAUAAUCAAGGCUCAUCUGUUUACCGAUUAGCAUCUGCAAACUUAAUUCCUCUUACCAUGUCAAGCAACAUUCACAAUUCUAAGGAUUAGGACAUGGAUAUCUUUGGAGAUAACAUCUAAGAAGUGACCACACAGGGUCCUCAUGAACUGAAUAUUUUCCAAGACCAUUGACUCGCCAAGAGCCCUGGCUCCUGGCCAUAUGUGACUUUCAGGGGACGCCUAAACACUUGUCUUUGUUCCUGGAUGCCUGAGAAGACAUGAGCACUGGACCACAACCCUCAGUAAAAAUCCCAGACCCCAAGCGAAGAUAAGACUCACUCUCCAUUCCUUUUCAAGUCUCCCAGACACUAUGUAUUUGCACUCUUUCUAGGUCUUCA